rnacentral:tRNA from 1 species
GGGCGAGUAGCUCAGUUGGUUAGAGCGUGCGGUUCACAUCCGCAAGGUCAGGGGUUCGAGUCCCUUCUCGCCCACCA